UUCAGUCCCUACCGGAUUCUUGACAGAGCAAAUGCUAAGGCUUGGUCUGUGCUUCUGGAGAGAUUUGUUGAAUGAGUGACUUGAGAAGCAUCCUCUCUUUAAGAGGCAAAGACAUGCAAGAGAUUGAUGGAGAUGCUGCUUUUUGAAGGAAGAUUAUUCUCUUGAAAAUAACACCCCUGGCAAUUGUGACGUGGUAUAAAAGUAGCCAGAAUGCGGCGAGCAGCCUGGGCCACAAAGGAUCCCUGACAACCCAACCACACAGGGAUUUGCGAGGGCUCACUGAACACUUGCUGCUAGAUCUUCUGCUUAAAGAUGAAGCAAAAGGAAAGCCCAGCACUGAGAGAUGCAUUUGCAGAACAUGACAGUCCCAGGAACUGGAGUGGAUUGAAGAGUAUCUGCCUCUGCUGAUGAGACCUCCUUGAGACCCCAGCAGCCAUCCCUGAACUGGAGCUUUCUGACCACCUCUGUCUCUCCAGGACCAGUGACCGGGCAUCAAAACUGCUCUCGGCCUGUCUGAAACGACAUGAAAUGAGAAUCCUUCACCCAGUGGACAAGAGAGGGCUUUGGUCAUUGUGUUACCAGUGAGCUCUCCUCAUGUCUGAAAUGUCAUAUGCGUGACCAAAGAGCAGAGCUGUGCAGUCAAGUGAACCCACCAAGACUCGAAACAUAAACCAUUAUACAUCUGGAGACACUUCAUUGUUCUGCUGUCUUGCUCCUACAGUGUUGUGUGAAACCUGGGAGCUCAUUGAGAUAAGCAUGGAUUGCAGACAAGCUCUUGCUUUUUGUGAAUGAGAAGACAGGAGGAUCUCCAACAACCUGCCCUAACUUCCCUCCUUGCGUGAUGCCAGCUGUGAGUGUUUCUUUGGCAGUGUCUUAGCUGGUUGUUGUGAACAAUAGUCAAGGAAGCAAUCAGCAAGUAUACUGCCCUAGAAGUGCUACACAUUGUUGGGCCUGCCUCACAUCUCCAUGGUUUGAGAGGGCGGAUGGGGAUCCAGGUUUGGAUGCUGCCCAGCUGUGCUGUGUUGUCCUGGAGCUUGGGGUGCCUGAUGGAGGAGAGGGCUGAUGUCAGAAAUGCCACAGGAUGCUUGAUGAUGUGGGCACUGCAUCAGAGACAAGAUGAAGAAAAGGUCAACAUGUUGCAAGUUACUUUGCUCUUUCUUUGUCCUUUACAUGUGCAUCUUCCUGAAAGUAAAAUACUAGCUCUUGUUAGUAACAUGACAGAAAUGUAACACUGGAUAUUGAGAGAAGGACCAGCUUUUGGGGAGAAUUUGCCUCACCCUCAGGCUGGUAAUGACAAGCUAACUUGGCUUUGAGGCUACCAUUGGAGCAAUACACCUGUAGUUACCAUCUCUCCUGGGUGCCCGUCAGCAGCUAGACAUUGCCAGUACACGCAGCCAGGUGCCCAAACACUUAGCUGAUCUUUCUGGGAAGAAUUAAUUAGAUUUUAAUUCUGCAACGAGACAUUACAUACAUUGGAUAAGAGGGAGGCAAGGAGGAUUUAUAGAAUGGACAAAGCUAUGGCAUGGGGUCAUUCUAAGGGAGGAAAUGCAAGAGCAUCACAACCUUGGCAGAAGGAAAGGCCUUGCCUAAACCUUUUUUUAAAACUUUCAGUACUCACAUAGAGGAUAAAUGCUUACAUUAAUUUUUAUCAAACCAAGUUGGUUGUGUUUUAUUUUCUGUGGCCCUCACUGAUUUGGCAUGAGCUGGUUGUGGAUCCAGGGAUGCUGGAACUCCAACCCCCAAGUACAUCAGAUUUCCUCAUAAAAUACUACAUUUUCAUUGCUCUUUACUUUCAGACUUUUUUUUUCCUUCAUAGAGCCAAAGAUUACCAUCAGUUCUACAGCGGGAGAGAAACAGGGUGUGUUGUUAAAUGUAAUGAGAAUAGCUAGAACAUAUCAUUGGAAGAUCACCAUGAAGAUGGCUAUGGAAAGUGCUUCUCUGUGUUCUGUGUAAAUGCCCCUUCUGGUGCCCCAUCCCACUGUGCCACUGCUCCAUACUCGAGUGUUGACUUAAUGGAAUUGAUGCAGUGACUGGAAUGUGGAUGGGCUGACAAACAUGGGGCUUGACCUGUCUCACUUAGCAUGUAAUUCCUGAGGAACUUCACCUGUAUUAAUAAAGUCAGUGAGUUUGAAUUCCAUGUUAUAUGGUUAUGUUCUGCUCUUCAGCUUUCCUGAAUGUAACUUUGCAGUAGUGCUUAAAUGGGUUAGUUUCUCUAAAUACGUGGUCAUUGUAUUUCAAAUAGUUUUAUUAAACGUGGUCUUGGCUACCUUUUUCCAUGAUGGAAACAGCAUUGUUGAAUACCAGGUGGAGUUCUGGAGUUCUGCGUUGGGGAUGUGCCUGCCGCUGACCCCAGAGUUAGAUGAACGGUAGUAGCUGUUGCACCAUCUGCUGGAACCUGAGCACUUGGCACCCACACAUGGAGAUAGAAUCUGUACAUUAUAUAACAUGAAUGUAUUAUGUCUGCCUUCAAAGAGGGAGCGUGAGGAGUAUGCAACUGUUUUACUGCCCAUGUUUUUCAAAGUCAUAUUUGGAUUCUGGACUGUAGAUGUCAAGUGUCCUCUUGUAGAAAUAGCCUCCUGGGCUUUGUUGCACCCUUUUUCCUUUUAACAGAGUUCUCUCUGCUGCUUCACAUUGUCUGUAUGAAAUAACUUGAGUGAGGCUUCUAGCUCAGUAACCAGGGAAGCUGCCGUGCUUCAUUUCUUCUUCUUGAGAGUCUCAUUAUUAGCUUUUAUAUUCCUGUCUCAUCUGUGUUAAAACUACAGGCUGUAGGCAGACCUUUCUGUUGCAAAGCACAAUGCAUGCCUCCAGUUUACAGUAAAAGCUACACCCUAGAAAGACUAGUUUUUGGCCUAUUUUCAUAUCACUAAAUAUAAGAGAUGCGGUCCAUAUGUUUUUAUUCUAGGUAAUGAGAAUGGCUAAAAAAACAGCAUUGGAAGUGUGCCACAAAGCUGACAAUGAAGAGUACUGCUUUGUAUUCUGUGCAAGUGCCCUUUCUAAUGCCCUUUCCUAAAGUGCUCCCCUCCCAUACUUUGGUCUGAGCUGUAUGGCCUGAAGACAGAGUCUUAAGUGUAACUUUUUUUUAUCGUGGCAUACUAUAUUUCAUUAUCAAUGUACAAUAUUAAUAUCUUCAUACAGCCACAGCGUGAAGUAAUAUCACAUAUUAAAGAAAGACUGCAUAAAUCCCAGACUUCUCUUGCACCAGCAGGUUUUUAGUCUGUCAUGCUUGCCUCGGGGCUGUUCUUCUAUCCCUAUGCUGAGCCUGCCAGCAAUUUAAAAUUUUUAAUAGUUGCCUGUCAUGUUGGUCUGGUUAAAGAAGAUAAGGGCACUGCAUAUUUCACUGUCUUAAUAAUCACGAGGAGUCAGGCUGGAGCAGCAGACAUGCCACAGUUACUACUGGGAUACUGGGAACAGCCAUGCCUGCCUUGGAGGGCGCCCUUCUGUGCUGUUUAACACAGGGAUGGGAAGCAGGAGAAAGGUGGUAAGAAUCUAGAAGUAGCAGCAGCAGGGGAAGGCAUAGUAUUUGGUUUAGCAUAAUCAUAAAUAAAAUAGGAAUUCAUGUAGCAUUUGUUAAUUCUAGAGGACCUAGAAUGAAUUCAAACGGUGUAGUUACUGAACUGUGAAACUUUGCUUUGUAGGUUUGCACACAAGGAGAGUCAGGAAAAACAGUACGUAUCCUUUAUAGACCCAGGUCACUUUUAUUGGCUGUAUGUACUUCUAGGAAUAUUGCAGUUCAACCUCCAGAAAGUCUGUUCUCGAUAUGCAAAAUUGCCUCCUGCUGUACCAAACUUCCAGCAUGACUCUUCACAUGAGAAUGUCGGAUUCCUCCUAGUCAACUUGAUAGUACCUAGUUGUACUUGUUACAAAACUGUCUUGAUGCUGGUCUUUGCCAAAUGCCAACAUUUUAAAUCUCUGAAAACUACUUUUUUGAGAAUAAAAGCAACAGUUGGCUAUGGUGUCUGCACCUGUUUCAUGGAGUGCCUUGUUGCUUAGCAUUCUUCAUAGAUAUGUGGGCUUUUUGCUUGAUUCUUCUCAAUCUAUUUGAAGAUGUUGUCUGGAGGAAGCAGCUAUGAACAAGUUAUGAAUCUGUCGGGAGGUCUCCCUGCCUGUUGCAGGGGAUUGGAGCUGGAUGAUCUUUAAGGUCCCUUCCAACCAAAACUAUUCUGUGAAGGCUGUUGGUUGUAACUUUGGAAUUUCUUGAGCAACCCUAUAUGUAUUUAUUGAUAUGCUUUAUUAGAUUCUAUCCAAAAUAGAGUCGAUGGGGUUAAUCAAGUCAAGGAUUAGGUCCUUAAUCUGCACCAGGACUGCUAGAAAUGUAGAUUUUUUUUUAUUAUUAUUAUUUUUGUCACAUGCUAGAAAAAGAAACAAAGGAAAAACAUGAGGAUUUUCACCUCCUUUAGAAAACCUCUCUUAGCCACACUUCCUUGGCUUUCUUUCAGCUGAUGCAGUGAACCUAAAAGUCAGGUGAUGACUUAAAAAUGGUCUCGUUCUUCUGGAAAUGAAGAGCUCAGGUGCUGGUAAAACUGUGGGCUAGCUUUUUGUAUUGUUUUAUGAUUCCAGGGUUAGCUUUAUGUUUCCAGAGAAUCAGGUUUGUUAAUUCUCAAGUAGAAUUUCUUAUGUAUCCAUGGUGUGUGCAUAGCCAAGCUGUGCAGAGAUCUAUGUCGGUGAAAGAUGAUGCAUUUAAUUUGGUGUUUCGCUGAGAAAGGUGGGUGGGAGCUGGGUGCCUCCCAGGCUGAGCCUGGAGGAGCUGAUGAGUACAAGCAACAGUUGUACUGAUUUCCUUCAGAAGGAACUGUGUGGUGAUUUGCAAACUAAAACAUUAAAGA